GCUGCUGUCGAAGUUCCAUCUACAAACGGAUAAUACUUUGGUAUUAGUGUAUACGAGUCGUUGAAGGAUCAAUACCAAACUUCUUAAUAGAACAGUUUGGUAUUGAUCCAUUUGGUUCAGUAGUGUUUUAUUCACAUAAUCGUUUUUCAUUUUCAUUUCUUUUAUUCAACUUAUGAAAACCGCUGGUUAUUUCAUGAUCGAAUAUCAUAGUUUCUUCUGUACCAACCUGCAAUUUAUAUACUCUUAUUCUUCAAUUUAUAUACUCUUAUUCUUCAAAAGAAUUUGAUUUUAGGAAAAAAUCAAAGCAUUUUUCUUUUUUUUUUUUUUAUGUCCAACAUUUUGUAUUAUGUACAAUAUCUGUAUUUCAGCAGGAAGGAGAGUGAAGUAAUAAAGACUAAAUAAAAAAAUAAUGAAUGGUGAAAAUGGAAUCCUUUUGAGAGAGGAGGGGCGGAUGUAGCCAAGUGGAUCAAGGCAGUGGAUUUGUGAAU
rnacentral:misc_RNA from 1 species